rnacentral:rRNA from 1 species
AACGGGUGAGUAACACGUGGGCAAUCUGCCCUGCACUCUGGGACAAGCCCUGGAAACGGGGUCUAAUACCGGAUAUGACCAUCUUGGGCAUCCUUGAUGGUGUAAAGCUCCGGCGGUGCAGGAUGAGCCCGCGGCCUAUCAGCUUGUUGGUGAGGUAACGGCUCACCAAGGCGACGACGGGUAGCCGGCCUGAGAGGGCGACCGGCCACACUGGGACUGAGACACGGCCCAGACUCCUACGGGAGGCAGCAGUGGGGAAUAUUGCACAAUGGGCGCAAGCCUGAUGCAGCGACGCCGCGUGAGGGAUGACGGCCUUCGGGUUGUAAACCUCUUUCAGCAGGGAAGAAGCGAAAGUGACGGUACCUGCAGAAGAAGCGCCGGCUAACUACGUGCCAGCAGCCGCGGUAAUACGUAGGGCGCGAGCGUUGUCCGGAAUUAUUGGGCGUAAAGAGCUCGUAGGCGGCUUGUCGCGUCGGUUGUGAAAGCCCGGGGCUUAACCCCGGGUCUGCAGUCGAUACGGGCAGGCUAGAGUUCGGUAGGGGAGAUCGGAAUUCCUGGUGUAGCGGUGAAAUGCGCAGAUAUCAGGAGGAACACCGGUGGCGAAGGCGGAUCUCUGGGCCGAUACUGACGCUGAGGAGCG